rnacentral:rRNA from 1 species
CCGUGCCAGCAGCCGCGGUAAUACGGAGGAUGCAAGCGUUAUCCGGAUUUAUUGGGUUUAAAGGGUGCGCAGGCGGAUUAGUAAGUCAGUGGUGAAAGCUCCCGGCUCAACCGGGAAAAUGCCAUUGAUACUGUUAAUCUUGAGUACAGUUGAGGUUGGCGGAAUGUAUCAUGUAACGGUGAAAUGCAUAGAUAUGAUACAGAACACCGAUAGCGAAGGCAGCUUACCAAACUGUAACUGACGCUCAUGCACGAAAGCGUGGGGAGCAAACAGGAUUAGAUACCCUGGUAGUCCACGCUGUAAACUAUGAUCACUCGCUGUUGGCGAUACACUGUCAGCGGCUUAGCGAAAGUGUUAAGUGAUCCACCUGGGGAGUACGAUCGCAAGGUUGAAACUCAAAGGAAUUGACGGGGGCCCGCACAAGCGGAGGAGCAUGUGGUUUAAUUCGAUGAUACGCGAGGAACCUUACCUGGGCUUAAAUGCAGAACGACCUCCCGAGAAAUCGGGACUUCCUUCGGGACGGACUGCAAGGUGCUGCAUGGUUGUCGUCAGCUCGUGCCGUGAGGUGUCGGGUUAAGUCCCAUAACGAGCGCAACCCUUAUCCUUAGUUGCCAACAGGUAAUGCUGGGAACUCUAAGGAAACUGCCUACGCAAGUAGUGAGGAAGGUGGGGAUGACGUCAAAUCAGCACGGCCCUUAUGUCCAGGGCUACACACGUGCUACAAUGGUCGGUACAGAGGGCAGCUACCUGGCAACAGGAUGCUAAUCUCGAAAGCCGAUCUCAGUUCGGAUUGGAGUCUGCAACUCGACUCCAUGAAGUGGAUUCGC